rnacentral:tRNA from 1 species
GAGGGUAUAGUUCAGUGGUAGACUGCAUGCCUAGCAUGCAUAAGGUCCUAGGUUCAAGCCCCAGUACCUCCA